rnacentral:tRNA from 1 species
CUUGAUGUCUGAAUUUAUAUUUUUAGGCCAAGAUCCUGUCACCUUAGGUCGAUCGGUACCUCAGAUUAAAAUUCAAAUAGAAAUUGACUUGUCUUUUUCAAGUUUGAUGAUUGAUUUCAGUUCCUAAACUUUGUCUAGGUCACACCCAGCAAGUGUCACUCCUGGGCCAUUAGCUCAGGUGGUUAGAGCGCACCCCUGAUAAGGGUGAGGUCCCUGGUUCAAGUCCAGGAUGGCCCAUUCGGUGUUGGGGGUAUAGCUCAGUUGGUAGAGCGCCUGCUUUGCAAGCAGGAUGUCAGCGGUUCGAGUCCGCUUACCUCCACUGAUCAAACUCCUUACAACGAAAUAGAGGGAGAUUGUCUUCGUUGGAUGUGAUUUAGGCUUAAGUUUUCAAUGAACGAACCUAGCUUCUUAUCAUUCCAUUUCUAAGUUAAAAGCUUAGCUUUAGGUUGAUAACAUGCUGGGCUCACUACAAUUAAAGAUUGUAGGAAUGUUCAGUAGAACCUUGACAACUGCAUAGGUGAGUCUGGAAAGAAUAAAGCAUCUCAUGGAUGCAUUACUUUCAAAUCUUUCUAAAUUUCUGGAUUAAACAGAUUUUUUUAGACUGGUUUUAAUUUAGUAAUGUUUAAUUCUUGAGCAAGAGCUGAGACUCUAUAAAU